GAUGAACGCUGGCGGCGUGCCUAACACAUGCAAGUCGAGCGAAAGGACGCGAAGCUUGCCUCUCUGAUGUUAGCGGCGGACGGGAGAGUAACACGUGUACCCCCUACCUAUAAGACUGGGAUCACUUGGGGUAACCGGAGCUAAUACCGUAUGAUAUUUUGAACCGCAUGGUUCAAAAGAGAGUUUCGGCCUUGGUGUCUCUUCUAGCUGGUUCCGCGCUGGAUUCUCUAGUUGGUAAGGUCAUGGCUUACCAAGGCAACGAUGCGUAGCCGACCUGAGAGGGGGGUCGGCCACACUGGAGCUGAGACACGGUCCCGACUCCUACGGGAGGCAGCAGUAGGGAAUCUUCGGCAAUGGGCGAAAGCCUGACGGAGCAACGCCGCGUGAGUGAUGAAGGUCUUCGGAUCGUAAAACUCUGUUAUUAGGGAAGAACAUAUGUGUAAGUAACUGUGCACAUCUUGACGGUACCUAAUCAGAAAGCCACGGCUAACUACGUG
rnacentral:rRNA from 1 species